UACGGAGGGAGCUAGCGUUGUUCGGAAUUACUGGGCGUAAAGCGCACGUAGGCGGCUUUGUAAGUUAGAGGUGAAAGCCCGGGGCUCAACUCCGGAACUGCCUUUAAGACUGCAUCGCUUGAAUCCGGGAGAGGUGAGUGGAAUUCCGAGUGUAGAGGUGAAAUUCGUAGAUAUUCGGAAGAACACCAGGUGGCGAAGGCGGCUCACUGGACCGGUAUUGACGCCUGAGGUGCGAAAGCGUGGGGAGCAAACAGG
rnacentral:rRNA from 1 species